rnacentral:rRNA from 1 species
GCCGCGUGUAUGAAGAAGGCCUUCGGGUUGUAAAGUACUUUCAGUCGUGAGGAAGGUGGUAGUGUUAAUAGCACUAUCAUUUGACGUUAGCGACAGAAGAAGCACCGGCUAACUCCGUGCCAGCAGCCGCGGUAAUACGGAGGGUGCGAGCGUUAAUCGGAAUUACUGGGCGUAAAGCGCAUGCAGGUGGUUAGUUAAGUCAGAUGUGAAAGCCCGGGGCUCAACCUCGGAAUUGCAUUUGAAACUGGCUGACUAGAGUACUGUAGAGGGGGGUAGAAUUUCAGGUGUAGCGGUGAAAUGCGUAGAGAUCUGAAGGAAUACCGGUGGCGAAGGCGGCCCCCUGGACAGAUACUGACACUCAGAUGCGAAAGCGUGGGGAGCAAACAGGAUUAGAUACCCUGGUAGUCCACGCCGUAAACGAUGUCUACUUGGAGGUUGUGGCCUUGAGCCGUGGCUUUCGGAGCUAACGCGUUAAGUAGACCGCCUGGGGAGUACGGUCGCAAGAUUAAAACUCAAAUGAAUUGACGGGGGCCCGCACAAGCGGUGGAGCAUGUGGUUUAAUUCGAUGCAACGCGAAGAACCUUACCUACUCUUGACAUCCAGAGAAGCCAGCAGAGA